rnacentral:rRNA from 1 species
GACGAACGCUGGCGGCGUGCUUAACACAUGCAAGUGGAGCGACGAACCAGGGCUUGCCCUGGGGCAGAGCCGCGAACGGGUGAGUAACACGUGGGUAACGUGCCCCAAUGAUCGGGACAACCCGGGGAAACCCGGGCUAAUACCGAAUGUGCCCCCCUCACACCAGUGAGGGGUGGAAAGGAAGCUUCGGCCUCCGCAUUGGGAUCGGCCCGCGGCCCAUUAGCUUGUUGGUGAGGUAACGGCUCACCAAGGCUGCGAUGGGUAGCUGGUCUGAGAGGACGACCAGCCACACUGGGACUGAGACACGGCCGAGACUCCUACGGGAGGCAGCAGUGGGGAAUCUUGCGCAAUGCGCGAAAGCGUGACGCAGCAACGCCGCGUGGGGGAAGAAGGCCUUCGGGUUGUAAACCCCUUUCAGGAGGGACGAAGCGUGGGCCGUUAAUAGCGGAUCCACGUGACGGUACCUCCAGAAGAAGCCCCGGCUAACUACGUGCCAGCAGCCGCCGCAGUAA